rnacentral:rRNA from 1 species
CAAAACACCAGAGAACUACGAACUAAAGUUUAAAACUCAAAGGACUUGGCGGUUUUUUAGAUCUCCCUGGAGGAGCUUGCUAUCUAACCGAUAACCCACGAAAAACCUUACCAGCUAUUGAAAAAUCAGCCUGUAUACCAUCGUCGUCAGUCUACCUCCCAAGAGAAGUUUUCAUAAAGAAUUUUUCUUCCCCACGUCAGAUCGAGGUGCAGCUAAUUAGCUGGCGAUCAGUGAGCUACAAUAAAACUCCAACAGUCAAAUACUUCUAUGAACAGUUUUUUGAAAAAAAAACCAGAAAUAGGAUUCAGUAGUAACGCUUACUAGAUAAUAGGCGUGAAACUCCCCCUCU